UCCGCGGCAUUCACGGACUGUGGGAGAGGAGAACAAGAAGUCAACAAGCAGCCAAGACCUCCUGUGAGCUGUCUCUACGUGUGAACUAACUGCAAGAGAGCCAGAUGCCAGCCCCUUUAGGUACAGGGGCAGGGAGACAAGAAGAAUCAACCCCUCCCACCCCUAAAAGUGACUGGCUGACCUGGAGAAGCACAGGCUGUGAUGAUAGCUAUUGAGGAUGCUUACGGGCUGCUGUGCUGAUGAGAUGAUGUCCACUCCUAAGGAAAAGGCCAGUUCCUGGAGACGCUCUACGUGUGCCUGCUUUUCCUGAGAGCGACCAAGAUGAAUCUGGGCCUCAUGGGCAUCGCUCAGUUCCUUCAGCUGGUCUUGAAACUCCAGUUCUUUGGAUUUGGCUGUGUACACUGUGAAGAAGCUUGUUACACCAAGGAGGAAAUGCACUUUACUUACCUGCAGGAGUCUACCUGGCUGAUUAAGCUGCUGUUAAGGCCUGAAGAACACUAAACCUUGCUGAACUCAGGUAAAGAUAAUGAUGCAGAUAAAAACAGGUAAAUCUUUAUGAAAAGAAGAUGGAUAUUCACCAGAACCUUCCCUGCUCAUUGGAAGAAAACUACAUAAUAAAUGUGAAGGACCACUAAGGAUUUAGCUCAGCACUUGCCUGGCAAGUAUCAGGUUGUGAGUUUGAUUCCCAGAAGAAGAAGAAGAAGAAGAAGAAGAAGAAGAAGAAGAAGAAGAAGAAGAAGAGGAAGAAGAGGAAGAAGAGGAAGAGGUAGCAGCUAAGGAAUUGCCUAGAAUUCUAUGGGGAAGAGAAGUGCAGAAAGUGUUAGGAUAUUAAGAAAUACUUUUUACCUAUUGUAUGGUCAGCCUGACAACAUUCAGUUUUAGAAUCUGCCUUAACUGACUGUGAGAUGAUAAGGGUUGAUUUUUCUUUCUAUAAUGUUAGCACUGAGCUAAAUGCUUUAUAUGUAUUAUCUAAUUUAAUCUUUACCAAAGUCUUGCAAGAAUGAAAUAAUUAUUAACCACAUUUUAACAAUGAGGUAACCAGGGCUCAGAAAAAUUUUGAAUUUGCCCAGUGUCUCAGCAAAUAAACUCAAAGAGCCAAAUUUCAAAUGAAGCCUACAGCCUAUUCUUUCAAUCAGCAUUGCAGUCCAACCUCUUCGUAUAGGGUGUCUCAGUUACUUUUUCAUCGCUGGAACAAAAUACCAGACAUGUACAAUUUAAAGGAAAGUUUUAUUUGGUACCCUUCCAGGUCAUAACCCCCUCUUUCAACCAGGCCUCCACCCUAACAGCUCAUUUAACUAUAUAACACCCCUAAGAUCCGAUCGCCCGAGUGUGCAGAGGAGGAGCUGGGUGGAUCUGGAGUGCCUGCAGAAGCCCCUUCCUUUGUCUGGAGGAUGGAAUAUCUCUGCAAGCAGGGAGGGAUCGCAGGUUCCUGAGGCACCUCGGCCUGUGGUGAGUGCUCAGCACAUUCUGCCCAAAUCUCAGACUGUUCCGGACCCCCAGGCUUCCGGGUGCAGUGAAGUGGAGCAGUGGGUUAGAGGCCACUACAUCCGCCUCCCCAUCCCGGCUGCACUUGGAGGUCUGCUGAGCUCCUGAUGGGUGGGCGGGCCCACACUAUCCCCCGAGCCCAGCCUGUUUUGCUGCCGCGCCUUCCUUUGUCUGGAGGACUGUGGAUAUCUCUGCAAGCAGGGAGGGAUCACAGGCUCCUGAGGCACCGCGGCCUGUGGUGAGUACCCUAGCCCGGCUGCGAUUGAAGAGCUGUGGAGCUUCCAAGGGGCAGGUGGGCGCACAGUGUCCCUGAGGCCCAGCUUGUCUGGA